GUAGGGCGGGACACGUGGUAUCCUGUCUGAAUAUGGGGGGACCAUCCUCCAAGGCUAAAUACUCCUGACUGACCGAUAGUGAACCAGUACCGUGAGGGAAAGGCGAAAAGAACCCCGGCGAGGGGAGUGAAAAAGAACCUGAAACCGUGUACGUACAAGCAGUGGGAGCACAGAGCAAUCUGUGUGACUGCGUACCUUUUGUAUAAUGGGUCAGCGACUUAUAUUCUGUAGCAAGGUUAACCGAAUAGGGGAGCCGAAGGGAAACCGAGUCUUAACUGGGCGUUAAGUUGCAGGGUAUAGACCCGAAACCCGGUGAUCUAGCCAUGGGCAGGUUGAAGGUUGGGUAACACUAACUGGAGGACCGAACCGACUAAUGUUGAAAAAUUAGCGGAUGACUUGUGGCUGGGGGUGAAAGGCCAAUCAAACCGGGAGAUAGCUGGUUCUCCCCGAAAGCUAUUUAGGUAGCGCCUCGUGAAUUCAUCUCCGGGGGUAGAGCACUGUUUCGGCAAGGGGGUCAUCCCGACUUACCAACCCGAUGCAAACUGCGAAUACCGGAGAAUGUUAUCACGGGAGACACACGGCGGGUGCUAACGUCCGUCGUGAAGAGGGAAACAACCCAGACCGCCAGCUAAGGUCCCAAAGUCAUGGUUAAGUGGGAAACGAUGUGGGAAGGCCCAGACAGCCAGGAUGUUGGCUUAGAAGCAGCCAUCAUUUAAAGAAAGCGUAAUAGCUCACUGGUCGAGUCGGCCUGCGCGGAAGAUGUAACGGGGCUAAACCAUGCACCGAAGCUGCGGCAGCGACGCUUAUGCGUUGUUGGGUAGGGGAGCGUUCUGUAAGCCUGCGAAGGUGUGCUGUGAGGCAUGCUGGAGGUAUCAGAAGUGCGAAUGCUGACAUAAGUAACGAUAAAGCGGGUGAAAAGCCCGCUCGCCGGAAGACCAAGGGUUCCUGUCCAACGUUAAUCGGGGCAGGGUGAGUCGACCCCUAAGGCGAGGCCGAAAGGCGUAGUCGAUGGGAAACAGGUUAAUAUUCCUGUACUUGGUGUUACUGCGAAGGGGGGACGGAGAAGGCUAUGUUGGCCGGGCGACGGUUGUCCCGGUUUAAGCGUGUAGGCUGGUUUUCCAGGCAAAUCCGGAAAAUCAAGGCUGAGGCGUGAUGACGAGGCACUACGGUGCUGAAGCAACAAAUGCCCUGCUUCCAGGAAAAGCCUCUAAGCAUCAGGUAACAUCAAAUCGUACCCCAAACCGACACAGGUGGUCAGGUAGAGAAUACCAAGGCGCUUGAGAGAACUCGGGUGAAGGAACUAGGCAAAAUGGUGCCGUAACUUCGGGAGAAGGCACGCUGAUAUGUAGGUGAAGCGACUUGCUCGUGGAGCUGAAAUCAGUCGAAGAUACCAGCUGGCUGCAACUGUUUAUUAAAAACACAGCACUGUGCAAACACGAAAGUGGACGUAUACGGUGUGACGCCUGCCCGGUGCCGGAA
rnacentral:rRNA from 1 species